GUCAGCGAGUCGAAGAUCCCAGAUGUUCAAUCAGGUUAUGAAAAAAUGAGCACGUCAAUGCUGGCGGCAUUAGCUGGCGCUAACUACAUUCACGAUGCGG
rfam:Peptococcaceae bacterium CEB3 CEB3_contig000059, whole genome shotgun sequence.